AUGGAGGUUGCGAUGUCUGCAGUCGCAGGCGAACUUGUCAGCCGGUUCAUCUCCUUGCUGAUGAGCAAGUACCACUCCUCCAUCCAUGCACAAUCGAAGGAGCAGAAUCUGGCGAAGCGGCUGCGGCAUCUCCUAUUGCGAGUUGGUACCGUCGUCGAGGAGGCAGACGGGCGGUACAUAACCAACUCCGGGAUGCUAGCCCAGCUCAAGAUGUUCUCUGAGGCCAUGUAUGGAGGGUACCGUGUGCUGGACACCUUGAUGUACCGCGCCCUCCGAAACAGCGCCGGCGUCGACGAGGUUAGCAGCAACGACUCAUUCAACAGCCACUUGUAUUUAAUCAAGCGUUCUCGGAGGAUGGCCGAUGGGGCCAGGUGCCUCGAGUCGGACGGUGCCUUGGAAAGCUUAGAAGCUGCUGCUGCUAACAUGGCAGAAUUUGUUAUGCUUUUGGGUGGUUGCGAGCGCAUGUCACGUAGGCCUUAUGACACUUACCUCUACACCGACAACUUCAUGUUCAGCCGACAUGCUGAGAAGCAAAAGCUCUUGAGCUUCUUGUUGCAGCACAGCGACCCUCCUGGUCAUGAGGCAACAGCCGUCCUUCCGAUCAUAGGGGGCGCCAAAGUUGGGAAAAAAACUUUGGUUGCUCAUGCGUGUGGCGAUGAAAGAGUCCGCGCACGCUUUUCUUCUGUUUUGCACUUGAAUGGUGACAGCCUUUUGAUGCGUGGAAGGACCAAGUUUGGGGUGAAGAUGUUGGUAGUUAUUGAGUUUGCUUUUGAUGUAGGUGAUGAUGAAUGGAAAAGGUUUCACUCAUUGGUCACAAGAAUGGGCAGAGGAAGCAAAAUCAUCAUUGUAAGUAGACUUCAAAGGUUAGCCCGAUUUGGAUCGGUGAAACCGAUUUUCCUAAGUGCUAUGUCUUACGACGAGUUGAGAUACCUUUUCAAAGCACUAUCCUUCGGGAGCGAGGACCCCACAGAACAUCCACAACUAGUACAAAUAGCAGAUGAAUUUGCCAAGAGGUUCCACGGUACAGAAGGUUCACUUGUCGCCACAAAUGCGUAUGCAGAUGUGUUGAAAAGGAAUCUUGAUGUUAAGUUUUGGCGUUGCAUACUGGACAAGGGGAUGAGAAUGGUUAAAAGAAACCUUGCCAUUUAUGGCAUGCACCCGAACACGCUUAUGUACCAUGGUCACCCAGUGGACAUAACGGACUUUGCUCUGCAUCCACUUAGCAUGACACCUUAUAGUGCUAGUUUUUCAGUCAAGAAGGAAUCACCAAGUGUGACAUUUGGGGAUCUUAUAACAGAUCCUAGUGUUAGACCCAAAGGAGACUUCACUCUAAUCGUAUGGGAAUCAAGGAUACCCCCUCAUAAAUCAUUUCCUAAGUCUGUAACAAGUUGUGCUCAGGUUGCACAUCAAGGUAGCGUCAUGCCAGGGAGGAAGCGGCAAGGAGUGCCAAUCUAA
rnacentral:rRNA from 1 species